UACGAAGGUCCCGAGCGUUAUCCGGAUUUAUUGGGUUUAAAGGGUGCGUAGGCGGGUUAUUAAGUCAGUGGUGAAAGCCUACAGCUUAACUGUAGAAUUGCCAUUGAUACUGAUGAUCUUGAGUAUGAUUGAGGUGGGCGGAAUGUGUCAUGUAGCGGUGAAAUGCUUAGAUAUGACACAGAACACCGAUUGCGAAGGCAGCUCACUAAGUCAUAACUGACGCUGAUGCACGAAAGCGUGGGUAGCAAACAGG
rnacentral:rRNA from 1 species